rnacentral:rRNA from 1 species
ACAGAGGAGCCAAGCGUUGUCCGGAUUGACUGGGCGUAAAGCGCACGCAGGCGGAUGCGCGCGUGGGGUGUGAAAUCUGGCCGCUUAACGGCCAGGCGCCAUCCCAUACGGCGCGUCUGGAGUGAUGCAGAGGUCGAUGGAAUUGCCGGUGUAGUGGUGAAAUGCGUAGAGAUCGGCAGGAACACCCAGGGGGAAACCAGUCGACUGGGCAUCUACUGACGCUGAGGUGCGAGAGCGUGGGGAGCGAACCGGAUUAGAUACCCGGGUAGUCCACGCCGUAAACGAUGGCCACUCGGCCUUUGGUGGCGGAAUCUCCGUCGCUGGGGGCCUUAGCUAACGCGGGAAGUGGCCCGCCUGGGAACUACGAGCGCAAGCUUA